UUAGAGACCAACACAAAGUGUUAAUUGUAAAGCCAAGUCAACAAGAAAUGUAUAAUUUAUGAUUUUCCUUUUACUUCUCUGUAUUUGUUGAUUCGACUGUUUGAUUUCUAUAGAAUGACAGUGAAACUGGUAACACUUUAUUUGAUGGGGUGUGCAUAAGGCUGACAUGACACUGUCAUAAACAUAAAGGAGUCUUUAUGAAUGUUUAUGAUCGUUGUCCUGAAAUGUCAAUCGGUAAAUAAUGCCACUUUUAAUGCAAAGUUGCUCUAAAAGUUGCAUUGAAAGUCCAUUAAAAGCCAGCUUUGCAUGAUUCUGUAAAUAAUGUCACUUUAAUGGGUAAAUAAAUGUCAGUCUUAUGCACACCCCGUCAAAUAAAGUGUUACCGUGAAACUCAAUGAACUAGAGUAUUAAUAAAACAUUAAUUUCCUUCAGUAAUUAAAUUCAAAAGUGAAACACAUAUAUAAGUUCAUGCCAAACAGAGGGAUUCACUUGGUUAUGUCUGAUAUACACCUGCAGCUGUAAAACCUCAAACUACCUCAAACUACCCAGUUUAUUUCAAUGCUAACUGAAGCUAAAAGCAAAGUUAUUUUUGUCACAAUACAUGAGUAUACGUUCCUCUGUGGUUUAGGUGGAGACACUGAAGAGCCAUUUUUCAGUCAUAGCUGCCUUCCUUUUUCACUUAUUACCCAGCUGUGCAACAAGUUUUCACAUUAGUGCUUAGACAUAAUAGUCAAAGAGCAACCAGCCAGCUCAUCAUUGUCCUUUUCACAAUGCAGCUCCCAAUUCUGUUUUAUCUCAGUCUAAUGUGGAUACUGCUAUCACAAGCUAAAGAUGACCCUCGCUGGAAGAUAUACUUGAAUCAGACCAUAAAUGCAACAAAAGGCUCAAAUAUAAUCAUAUUCUGCACAUUUGAAGCUCCUCCAGAACAAAAAACAAACAUUAAAGUUUACUGGAAAACAAAAGGGAGCAGUAGCUGCAGCAAGAAAGACAACGACAGGCUGGCAUUCGCGUUUCAUCCUAGCACCUCUUGCAUAGAUCCACACUUCCAGAGUAGGACAAAACUAAUUGGAGAAGCCAGAGAUGGAAACUGCUCUCUACAAAUCAUCAAUAUUAUGAAAAGUGAACCAUCAAUCUACCUGCGAGUUUCUGGAUGGAACGACAAUUACAGUUUCAAAAAACAUGCUGUCAAAUUUUAUGUGGAUGAAAAAAUAUUUAGUUAGUAUAUUUUCAAUUUUACCAGCUAUUUUAUGCUUGUUCAAACAUUUAAAGUUUUUCUAUUGUAGUCAAAGUUUUGAUUCCAUCAGGCAAUUAUAGCUUGCAAUCAUACAGAUUAAGUUUUCUUUAAAUGUUUGGAAACAUUUUUUUUUUUUCAAGGUUUCUUGAGUCACACAGAUGAUCCCUCAUUUGAAUUUACAAUAAAUUAUUUUUUAUUUACUUUAUGUCAUUUAUUCAGACUGUUCCUCAGAAACAAAUACGGACAUAUAAAAAUCUUGUAAGGCUUCUUUAAUGAAAAUGACUAUUGUUCACAGCAACCGCCAUGCCUGAUGUGCAUGGUGAUGGGAACAUCAAGCUGUACCUGGCCAUCUCUGUGCCACUUCUCGGACUUCUCAUCAUUGCUACAGCUGGGACAGUGGCUUACAAAAUGCACAAGAGGUCACUCAUGUUCAAACGGCAGGAAUCUGGAUAUUAUGCAAACUUCAGACAGACAUCAUCAACCACACCCAAAAGUGAAUCAUUUUGUAAAACAUCGAACCAGAUGCCUCCACAUCCAAAAGUCAUUGAUGAGCCUGUUUACAUGAAUUUUCAGGCAUCAGCAAAUCAAAUGGACCAACAAGUGGAAACCGUAGACAAUAUUUAUGGAAAUGUUGACUAUACAACUUAGAAAAAACAUCUGUCUCAAAGCUUUCAUCCUAAAGGAUUGUAUUUUCCUGCGUCGUCUUUGGUGUUCAAAUGCAUAUGUUCAGUCAGAAGCAUCGAAAGUGUGUCAACUAGAUUGAGAAGAAUGCACUGGUUUGCAACACAUGCAUGGAAACUCCAAAGUUUAAUGAAAAGGAAACUUUAUCCAGCUGUUAGGACUGGCGUCGCAUCUUAAUUAUUCAAACAUGACGUGCAGGUGCCCAUCUCUGAUUGGCUCUCAGAAGACGGUGGAGACGUCCAAUUGGUGGCUUACUGGAGGUAACGGAUAUAAAAACUUCUGAUUCGGACUUCCUGCCAUCCAUCCUCAGCUCAUCUCAACCGGCCUCACUGUCUUCCUGUCAAAAACUCUUCAUAAAAGUUCUUGGAGUUUGUAGGAGUUGGCUGCCGUUUAUGUUUGUUUUAUCAUGUUUUUCUUAAUUAGGGAGGUAAGUUUUUGUCAUUUGGUUUAUUUACUUUCAAAUCAGUAAGUUUUAAUGUUCACAUAGUGUCAGGAUCUGUGUUUUUCUGUGUGUUUAUUUUGAGUUUCCUGUGUAUCUGUGUCUCAGUGUUGUCCUGUCUCCCUUUGAUUAGUCCCCAGGUGUUUCUUGUUCCCUGAUUACCCCCAGUGUAUUUAGUGUCACCUGUGUGUCUGUUCUUUGUCGGGUCCUUGUCUUAUGUGUGUUCAGUCCUUCGUGUUGUCCAGUCAAUUUACCAGUUGCCUCCGGCGUUGAGCCCUGGCUUCUGCUCAGUCGUGCUGCCUGGUUAUUUGUGGACUUUUUUGGGACAUUCGUCAUUAAAAUUAUUUAUUCAU